rnacentral:rRNA from 1 species
UGGGGAAUCUUGCACAAUGGACGAAAGUCUGAUGCAGCAACGCCGCGUGGGGGAUGAAGCUUUUCGGAGUGUAAACCCCUUUCGACCCGGAAGAAUGCCCGCAAGGGUUUGACGGUACGGGUAUAAGAAGCCCCGGCUAACUACGUGCCAGCAGCCGCGGUAAUACGUAGGGGGCCAGCGUUGCUCGGAAUUACUGGGCGUAAAGGGUCCGUAGGCGGUGUGGCAAGUCGGGAGUGAAAUCUCUGGGCUUAACCCAGAGGCUGCUUCCGAAACUGCCAUGCUAGAGUGUGAGAGAGGCGAGUGGAAUUACGGGUGUAGCGGUGAAAUGCGUAGAUAUCCGUAGGAACAUCCGAGGCGAAGGCGGCUCGCUGGAUCACAACUGACGCUGAGGGACGAAAGCUAGGGGAGCAAACAGGAUUAGAUACCCCGGUAGUCCUAGCCGUAAACGAUGGAUACUAGGUGUAGGUGGUAUCGACUCCAUCUGUGCCGCAGUUAACACAAUAAGUAUCCCGCCUGGGGAGUACGGCCGCAAGGUUA